UGCCUUCAUGUGUUGCCUGUUCACUGUGUCAUUGGUGAAUGUGGUGUCAACGAAGGCAUACAUAAACUCUAAAUGAGAAUAUAAUUAAAGUGAACUUUACACUUUUUUUCUUCUCUUUAGGCACAUUC